rnacentral:rRNA from 1 species
AUUGAACGCUGGCGGCAGGCCUAACACAUGCAAGUCGAGAGAGCGGCGGACGGGUGAGUAAUGUAUGGUGAUCUGCCCGAUAGAGGUGGAUAACUACUGGGAACGGUAGCUAAUACCGCAUACUCUUGGAUGAACACUUAUGGGAUUAGCUAGUAGGUGAGGUAAUGGCUCACAUCGGCGCCGAUCCCUAGCUGGUCGGAGAGGAUGCUCAGUCACACUGGAAGUGAGACACGGUACAGACUCCUACGGGAGGCAGCAGUGGGGAAUAUUGGACAAUGGGCGAAAGCCUGAUCCAGCCAUGCCGCGUGUGGGAUGAAGGCUUUCGGGUUGUAAACCUCUUUCGCUAUCGAACGGGUAGGUGGUGAAGAAGCGCCGGCUAACUACGUGCCAGCAGCCGCGGUAAUUC